rnacentral:rRNA from 1 species
AUUGAACGCUGGCGGCGUGCUUAACACAUGCAAGUCGAGCGGCAGCGCGGGAGCAAUCCUGGCGGCGAGCGGCGAACGGGUGAGUAAUGCUUCGGAAUCUGCCCUUCAGUGGGAAUAACCAGUCGAAAGACUGGCUAAUACCGCAUACGAACUGAGGUUGAAAGCAGGGGAUCGCAAGACCUUGCGCUGAUGGAUGAGCCGAAGUCGGAUUAGCUUGUUGGUGGGGUAAUGGCCUACCAAGGCGACGAUCCGUAGCUGGUCUGAGAGGACGACCAGCCACACUGGGACUGAGACACGGCCCAGACUCCUACGGGAGGCAGCAGUGGGGAAUAUUGGACAAUGGGGGCGACCCUGAUCCAGCGACGCCGCGUGUGUGAAGAAGGCCUGCGGGUUGUAAAGCACUUUUAGUGGGGAGGAAGGUCUGCGACCUAACACGUCGUGGAAUUGACUUAACCCACAGAAAAAGCACCGGCUAACUCUGUG